GGAUCGGUAGCUCAGUGGUAUAGAGCAAUAGCAUUUAAAGUGCUAGAGGUAGUGGGAUCAAAACCCACCCGAUCCA
rnacentral:tRNA from 1 species